rnacentral:rRNA from 1 species
UACAGAGGUCUCAAGCGUUGUUCGGAUUCAUUGGGCGUAAAGGGUGCGUAGGCGGCGCGGUAAGUCGGGGUGUGAAAUCUCGGGGCUUAACUCCGAAACUGCAUUCGAUACUGCCGUGCUUGAGGACUGGAGAGGAGACUGGAAUUUACGGUGUAGCGGUGAAAUGCGCAGAUAUCAGGAAGAACACCCGUGGCGAAGGCGGCUCUCUGGGACGGUACUGACGCUGAAGACGCGAAAAGCGUGGGGGAGCAAACAGG